ACGAACGCUGGCGGCGCGCCUAACACAUGCAAGUCGAACGAGAGAUGAGGAGCUUGCUCUUCAAAUCGAGUGGCGAACGGGUGAGUAACGCGUGAGGAACCUGCCUCAAAGAGGGGGACAACAGUUGGAAACGACUGCUAAUACCGCAUAAGCCCACGGCUCGGCAUCGAGCAGAGGGAAAAGGAGUGAUCCGCUUUGAGAUGGCCUCGCGUCCGAUUAGCUGGUUGGUGAGGUAACGGCCCACCAAGGCGACGAUCGGUAGCCGGACUGAGAGGUUGAACGGCCACAUUGGGACUGAGACACGGCCCAGACUCCUACGGGAGGCAGCAGUGGGGAAUAUUGCACAAUGGGGGAAACCCUGAUGCAGCGACGCCGCGUGGAGGAAGAAGGUCUUCGGAUUGUAAACUCCUGUUGUUGAGGAAGAUAAUGACGGUACUCAACAAGGAAGUGACGGCUAACUACGUGCCAGCAGCCGCGGUAAAACGUAGGUCACAAGCGUUGUCCGGAAUUACUGGGUGUAAAGGGAGCGCAGGCGGGAGAACAAGUUGGAAGUGAAAUCCAUGGGCUCAACCCAUGAACUGCUUUCAAAACUGUUUUUCUUGAGUAGUGCAGAGGUAGGCGGAAUUCCCGGUGUAGCGGUGGAAUGCGUAGAUAUCGGGAGGAACACCAGUGGCGAAGGCGGCCUACUGGGCACCAACUGACGCUGAGGCUCGAAAGUGUGGGUAGCAAACAGGAUUAGAUACCCUGGUAGUCCACACCGUAAACGAUGAUUACUAGGUGUUGGAGGAUUGACCCCUUCAGUGCCGCAGUUAACACAAUAAGUAAUCCACCUGGGGAGUACGACCGCAAGGUUGAAACUCAAAGGAAUUGACGGGGGCCCGCACAAGCAGUGGAGUAUGUGGUUUAAUUCGACGCAACGCGAAGAACCUUACCAAGUCUUGACAUCCUUCUGACCGGUACUUAACCGUACCUUCUCUUCGGAGCAGGAGUGACAGGUGGUGCAUGGUUGUCGUCAGCUCGUGUCGUGAGAUGUUGGGUUAAGUCCCGCAACGAGCGCAACCCUUAUGGUCAGUUACUACGCAAGAGGACUCUGGCCAGACUGCCGUUGACAAAACGGAGGAAGGUGGGGAUGACGUCAAAUCAUCAUGCCCUUUAUGACUUGGGCUACACACGUACUACAAUGGCGUUAAACAAAGAGAAGCAAGACCGCGAGGUGGAGCAAAACUCAGAAACAACGUCCCAGUUCGGACUGCAGGCUGCAACUCGCCUGCACGAAGUCGGAAUUGCUAGUAAUCGUGGAUCAGCAUGCCACGGUGAAUACGUUCCCGGGCCUUGUACACACCGCCCGUCACACCAUGAGAGCCGGGGGGACCCGAAGUCGGUAGUCUAACCGCAAGGAGGACGCCGCCGAAGGUAAAACUGGUGAUUGGGGUG
rnacentral:rRNA from 1 species